GCCGAGACUAGAGUCACAUCUGAACACUGCCUGUUGUCCUGGUGUGCUAGAGUACUCGGAAAGUAACCACUAAUCUCUAUUCGCUGGCUGUGACCAUUGUUGACUCAGUCAGUCACCAGGUUAGUGACAGGA
ensembl:snoRNA